GAUGAACGCUGGCGGCGUGCCUAAUACAUGCAAGUCGAGCGAAUGGAUUAAGAGCUUGCUCUUAUGAAGUUAGCGGCGGACGGGUGAGUAACACGUGGGUAACCUGCCCAUAAGACUGGGAUAACUCCGGGAAACCGGGGCUAAUACCGGAUAACAUUUUGAACCGCAUGGCUCGAAAUUGAAAGGGAGCUUCGGCUGUCACUUAUGGAUGGACCCGCGUCGCAUUAGCCAGUUGGUGAGGUAACGGCUCACCAAGGCAACGAUGCGUAGCCGACCUGAGAGGGUGCUCGGCCACACUGGGACUGAGACACGGCCCAGACUCCUACGGGAGGCAGCAGUAGGGAAUCUUCCGCAAUGGACGAAAGUCUGACGAAGCAACGCCGCGUGAGUGAUGAAGGCUUUCGGGUCGUAAAACUCUGUUGUUAGGGAAGAACAAGUGCUAGUUGAAUAAGCUGGCACCUUGACGGUACCUAACCAGAAAGCCACGGCUAACUACGUGCCAGCCGCCGCCGUAA
rnacentral:rRNA from 1 species